rnacentral:tRNA from 1 species
GCGGGCGUGGCGAAAUUGGCAGACGCACGAGAUUUAGGUUCUCGUGGGCGAAAGCCCGUGCAGGUUCAAGUCCUGUCGCCCGCA